GGAACAGUUGAUGCGGUAGGCCUGAAAUAAAAGAGGACAAAAAGAGACAUCAUAACAAAAUGUAUUCAGCCUACAAAUACAACAUAGCUACAUGACAUAAUCAUGUUUCGGAAUGCUAGACGUACUUCUUGUACAGGUUGAGGUAUGUAUCUAGUGUAGGCAGCGGACUUCCACCGACCUAAUGUCUUGAUAAUAUGUACCAGAAUAUUUAUCUUGGAAGUCGUGGUAGCGGCUCCUAUACGAAACGAAUGAUCAGAGUAAUUUGCUGGGUUAACACCUAACCAUACCAAUAACAUUCUAACAUAAAGCAUAAAUCUACUAGUAGUGAGUUUAUUCCCGUGUAAAGCAAGCAGUGAUUUGAUUGGUUCGUUGAACUUUGACUGGAGGAAAGGUAGUGAUCAAAAACUUUAACUGGGCAUCAUUGAUUUCUUGUGGGAUAAUAUGUAAUUUUUACUGUCUGACCCCUUCCGCAAAUUUUUGUAUGGUGUAGUGAAAGUACGUAGUGGUCAUCUGAUUCCACCAGAUGUGCUCUUGCGAUAAAGUCAGAUGAGUUAGAGUUAGUGGUGGUGAAUUCUCUCGGUCGGAGAACACCGUAGAACACUAAAUAAAUGGCAGUUUUAGUGACGUGAUUUGUCUGGGUUUCGAAUGGUGAGGCAUCUAGAAGGUCUGAAAGUGAUCAUGGAUUGGAAGUCUAGAAGGUGUAGGUAUAGGUGUGGAGUCUUUAACCUGGUAGGAUGAAAGGAACCGUUGUUUAUUAGGUCAUGUGGUGAGGAUAUGAUGUUGAAUACCGAUAAGGUAUAAUUUAAUAGUGUUGAAGGAUAGCUUUAGGUGAAGGUGGCAAAAGGAAAUAAACGCAACCACAGCAUCCAUAGAGAAUUUAUCUAUAAUGUGGAACUCGAGCAAAAAUCUAUUGAAAAUAUGAAAAGCCCUAUCAUAAGAUUUCCUUAUGUUAGUGGAAAGACCUAGAGGUGAGAGGUAAUGCCC